rnacentral:rRNA from 1 species
UACGGAAGGGGCAAGCGUUGUUCGGAAUUAUUGGGCGUAAAGGGCGUGUAGGCGGCUUCGCAGGUCUGUGGUGAAAGGAUACGGCUCAACUGUAUUGAGCCGCGGAAACGGCGGAGCUUGAGGCUGGGAGGGGCUGGUGGAAUUCCCUGUGUAGCGGUGAAAUGCGUAGAGAUGGGGGAGAACACUCGUGGCGAAGGCGGCCAGCUGGACCAGUUCUGACGCUGAGACGCGAAAGCGUGGGGAGCAAACAGG